GGAGAGCUGUAGCUUAGUGUGGAGGGCAUCUGUUUUGCAUACAGAAGGUCCCAGGUUUAAUCCCCACCAUCUCCA